rnacentral:rRNA from 1 species
UACGUAGGGUGCGAGCGUUGUCCGGAAUUACUGGGCGUAAAGCGCACGUAGGCGGCUUUGUAAGUUAGAGGUGAAAGCCCAGGGCUCAACCCUGGAAUUGCCUUUAAGACUGCAUCGCUAGAAUUGUGGAGAGGUAAGUGGAAUUCCGAGUGUAGAGGUGAAAUUCGUAGAUAUUCGGAAGAACACCAGUGGCGAAGGCGACUUACUGGACACAUAUUGACGCUGAGGUGCGAAAGCGUGGGGAGCAAACAGG